CCUACGGGGGGCUGCAGUGAGGAAUAUUGGUCAAUGGACGAAAGUCUGAACCAGCCAUCCCGCGUGCAGGAUGACGGCCCUAUGGGUUGUAAACUGCUUUUCUACUCCAAGAAACCUGGUUACGAGUAAUCAGUUGCCGGUAGAGUAGGAAUAAGCAUCGGCUAACUCCGUGCCAGCAGCCGCGGUAAUACGGAGGAUGCAAGCGUUAUCCGGAUUCAUUGGGUUUAAAGGGUGCGCAGGUGGGCUUGUAAGUCAGUGGUGAAAUGCUGCCGCUUAACGGUAGAAUUGCCAUUGAUACUGUGAGUCUUGAGUAUGGUUGAGGUAGGCGGAAUGUGCAGUGUAGCGGUGAAAUGCAUAGAUAUUGCACAGAACUCCGAUUGCGAAGGCAGCUUACUAAGCCAUUACUGACGCUGAGGCACGAAAGCGUGGGGAGCGAACAGGCUUAGAUACCCUAGUAGUC
rnacentral:rRNA from 1 species